rnacentral:rRNA from 1 species
AGUGAACGCUGGCGGUAGGCCUAACACAUGCAAGUCGAACGGCAGCACAGUAAGAGCUUGCUCUUACGGGUGGCGAGUGGCGGACGGGUGAGGAAUACAUCGGAAUCUACUUUUUCGUGGGGGAUAACGUAGGGAAAAUUACGCUAAUACCGCAUACGACCUACGGGUGAAAGCAGGGGAUCUUCGGACCUUGCGCGAUUGAAUGAGCCGAUGUCGGAGUAGCUAGUUGGCGGGGUAAAGGCCCACCAAGGCGACGAUCCGUAGCUGGUCUGAGAGGAUGAUCAGCCACACUGGAACUGAGACACGGUCCAGACUCCUACGGGAGGCAGCAGUGGGGAAUAUUGGACAAUGGGCGCAAGCCUGAUCCAGCCAUACCGCGUGGGUGAAGAAGGCCUUCGGGUUGUAAAGCCCUUUUGUUGGGAAAGAAAAGCAGCAGGUUAAUACCCCGCUGUUCUGACGGUACCCAAAGAAUAAGCACCGGCUAACUUCGU